UUUGUGGCGUCUUCUUACUGUACAUCAUACAUAAAUCUGGUAUUCUUAUGCUUGUUCUGGUUGGUUUCGAGAUAUUGGUCAUCAUUCACUAAAACUUGCUGGUGUACUUGUUAAGCUGUGAGGAUCAUAAUGGGGGAAUAACUGAUAUUUUGCUGAUUUGCUAUUGAAACUAAGGAACUUUUUACAAUAAUACUUUUCUUACCAUGUGAGUGCUUGCGUGGAGCAGAUUGAGAUCUCGGGCUUUCACUAAAUGACGUGGUCGGUGGACAACUGGGAAUUCAACAAUGCAGCGGUAGCAGAUUUGUGGAAAGGUCAGUAAACCCCUGCUGAAAUUCGUGAUGGGUUUAGCUAUGGUAGAUUGAAUUCAGUGUGCAAUUGUCGAACUCUUAUUGCCUCGUGAGACCUAGGUUAGAGAACUUCCUGCUUUCUUGAUAAGUUAGCAGUCUAGCUUUUGAGCACGCUCAUAAUCUCUGAAUGCAUUGUCAUGCUGAAUUAAGUUACACAAGAGAGUUUUCAGCUGAUACAUAUAGUUGUAAAGGUAGAGAACACUUGUUACUAGGUGAUUGAUGAAAAAGGCUCGAGCUUGCUAAUUUUUAUUCCUAGAACCUCCGGAGUAUUUUUCUGUCCCACCAAUGCCAAAAAUAGCAUAUUUCAUUAGCCAUUGACUAUUGCAAUCUGAAUUUUUAGUGCGUAUUGUUAAGUUUGAUGUUCCUCCAGUCUGAAGUCUUUGAAAUCCAGUCAUUCCAUCAUCGGGAUAUCACAACCUCUGCCAGUGUACAUAUACAAAUCCCAGAAAAUAAUCCAUUCCUUCCAUUGCACAUCUCUCGCUAUCCCACAGUAGUUGAUUAUUCCAUAAGCAUACUCAUCAAGUUAAAGAAGACUCAAAAGCACUUUGUUGUCAUUGACCUUGCAAAUUUCAACAUUAUGAGGAGCUAUAUAUUCGUCAAUAUUGAUGCCUCUCUCCAAAAAAUCAAAAAAUAAAUAAAGAAAAAGAGUGAGGGUCACCGUUCAAAAGAUCAAAGGUUCACCCCCAAGCAGGAAGAAAUAGUCAGCACUGCUUCCAUAUUCAUGUGCAGAAUGCAGAAUGGCUAAUCAAACUACUACCUAUGCAAUAUUGACAGCUUGAGCAUCAGUCGCAUCCUGAGAUCACCUUGCAUUGCGUAGGCAUCUCAAUUAUUUCUUUGGCGUGAGUCCAUCCCUCCCACAUCCCCUGGACAGUGGACGCUACCUUUCCCCAAUGACUGGAAUGUGGAGACUUCUUUGUACUGGAGUUGAACUCUUAUUUAGCUUUACAAUCUAGAGUUCAGAUUUGCUCAUUCUUUGAAUUACCCAACCAAGCUCCAUAUAAGCUUUCCACAAAUAUAAAGUAGAUACAAAACACUUCGGCCACUGGCCAGUGAGGACUAUCAUUAUGUGAUGAGAGUAAUUCCGGAUCAUGACGAGGUAAUCUCACUAGAUACCUGCUCUUCGAAGGUUCAGAAUGGAAUAAAAUUGUUGGCUGCUCUUGUGCUCUUUUGUUCUUCAAAUUGAAGUCAAACAUCGUAGUGACUUGUGUUCAAAAACUGGAUUACUAUAUCGUUGAUGCUGUUCACUCUCAUAAAAUGGAACAUAUUCCGUACUGGCAAUGAAUAGGAGUUAUUAUUUAAGCUUGUGCUCAAUUGUUAGCCUGCUUCUUUGAUAAGUCUGUGGGAAGUGUCUCUGUCUGAAGCUCAUGAGGAUUAUAGUAAUUGUUUGCACAUGAGCACUUGUUUGCAAUCUAGCUAUGCUAAUCUUUCAGGUAGUAUUUCACAAGCAUGCGGGCAAGUUGAAUCAGGAGCCUAAAUCAUCUGGCUGCCAUUGGCUGCGAUCCGAGACUCUUCUUUCUCAAGGGAAGAAUCAGAAAGGGAGAAGACUGAGAUGAAUCAUACCCAUCCUUUUGUUUAUCUUUGUAGCUACUUGCUUCAUAACAAUGUUAUAAGGAGGAGAGAAUGGGGUUUCCCACUUAUUAUUUCUCUUCUAGCUUCAGUCUGUAGUAGCUAUCGAUGAAUGGUACGAAAACAGGCCAAAUUUUUCAUUCAUUCUUUUCAGUGUGGACAUCUAUAUUCAGUAUAAUGUGCAAUAUCUUCAUAUC